CCUGGCCCUUGCCACCUCAGAAUACAGUUAUUUCCAUUACAUGUACCUUUUUCAGUUGAGUGACUGAGGUUCCCACUGUAAAGUCCAGCUUAAACAGAAGAGUAACUACGGAGCUCUUCAGGGAUGCUGGGGCUCCCCUAACAAAUCUGUUUCUCAAUGUGUUCAUGAGAGGUGUGUCUUCUGGAUUCUUCCAGUGUGGGCAAAGAACAUGGACUCACAGACACUGGAUGGCUUGCACAAUGUCUUGAAGCCCCAAAGACUAGGUUGAAAUGCACAUGCAUUUUCACAAUACCACGCUUCCUCAUCUCUGUAAAGCUUACAUUUUAAUCCUCAUACAAGCUUUUGAGUUCUGUGUGCCUCUCUAUGUAUAAACCCUCAGCUCACUGAGUGUGAGUCAGUCUGCUGGUCGAAGGUGC
rnacentral:lncRNA from 1 species